GACGUAGGGCGCGAGCGUUGUCCGGAUUUAUUGGGCGUAAAGGGCUCGUAGGCGGCCUGUCGCGUCGGGAGUGAAAGCCCACUGCUUAACGGUGGGUCUGCUUCCGGUACGGGCGGGCUGGAGUAUGGCAGGGGAGACUGGAAUUCCUGGUGUAGCGGUGAAAUGCGCAGAUAUCAGGAAGAACACCUAUGGCGAAAGCAGCUCUCUGGGACGGUACUGACGCUGAGACGACGAAAGCGUGGGGAGCGAACAGG
rnacentral:rRNA from 1 species